UACGGAGGGUGCAAGCGUUAUCCGGAUUCACUGGGUUUAAAGGGUGCGUAGGUGGGUUGGUAAGUCAGUGGUGAAAUCUCCGUGCUUAACAUGGAAACUGCCAUUGAUACUACUGAUCUUGAAUUUUCAGGAGGUAAGCGGAAUAUGUCAUGUAGCGGUGAAAUGCUUAGAUAUGACAUAGAACACCAAAUUGCGAAAGGCAGCUUACUACAGAAUAUUGACACUGAUGCACGAAAGCGUGGGGAGUCAAACA
rnacentral:rRNA from 1 species